rnacentral:pre_miRNA from 1 species
ACCGUAGUAUCAAAGUGCUUACAGUGCAGGUAGUACUAUGAAAGACCUACUGCAGUGGAGGCACUUCUAGCACUGCGCU